rnacentral:rRNA from 1 species
UCGAAGGAGAACCUGUUCGGUUUCGGUUUGGGUUUCAAAGAAGAAGAGGCCAUUUUCGUAGAAAAAGGGGGAGAAACACUACUUUUCUCGUGUUAUUUAGGCCGGUUUUUUCUACGGCGACGGCGGCGUUACUAAUCAGGCCACCGUAAACGCCGAACGGUGAGAGCGGACCGCAACGCAAACGCACCACAAAAACACCUGCUGCCGCAGCAGCAGCGGUCGGUCGGAGCAGGUGGAGAAGGAGGAGGAACACCGAGAGCAGAAGGAGGGGGGCGCAACGGGAGCCUUUUUUAGGUAGGAAAGACGGGGCCUUUAAAUCAGGGGAGGAUAAAUACUGGGCGGGUAGAGAGGGCGCCUCCGCCGGGACUUUUAGGGGGGAACGAGGGGGACUUAGCCGAAGAACCAAGGGGGCAGCUAAAGGAGGAGGGAGAGGGCGCAAGAACUAGGCUUCCGCGCACACAAAAGACCCGUUAAAGGCCGUAGUCUAACAGUUAACCUAGGUAAAGCUAGGCAAGGACCAGAAGAACUUGGCUCGCCGCCCGAGGCACUAACCAAGAACACAGCGGGACCUCGUAAGAGCGCGCUCUGGUUCUACGAGAUGAACUUCGUCGGCGUCUCCUCGAUCGACUUGGUGCGCCUCAGAGGCAAACGAACGAGACUUAAAGAGUCCGAGCCUAAGCAAGACCGGGAGAACAGACGGACGCACAACUAGACUUAAAGACUAGGCUACCUCCGGUACUCUCCGCCGUUUAAGGAGGUCUUCAAGGCCGAGAUGCUUUGGUCUAGCUUUAAAAUAGAACAGCCUUCUCUGUUCUCGUCCUGAGAAACCUCCCACGAUUUCUAACUGGCCAACCUCAGAUGACUAAAUCCAUAGGUCCUCCUAGGAUGAUCAAUGUGUCUCUUACUUACAGUUCUUGAUGAAACCGCUUAAGUACUCCCUUUAUCCAACUGACCACCCGACUUUAAACAGUGUUUUACGAUGCCUUAUUAACCAAAAUACUUCAAAGAACCAGGAAUGAUGUACCAAUAUUAAUGGUCCUCUUCUUUUCAACCGUGUUAGACACCGGUACUAUAAAUAAGUUAACCGUUCUCACUUUACUAGCGUUAAGGUACAGGAUAUCAGACGGGGUUACACCGAUUAAGAUCCCUACUCUUGUCUAUAUUUGCAGAGGAAACGAGCCAGCUAGAAUGCUUCCUGAAGAAGAAGUCGAUGAGAAUGUUGUAGUACGCGUCAGAAGUCUUCUUGUAUUUACUGUUUUUAUGACCUGUACAACAAAUACUUUGUUACAAACAUACCUUACUUAAAAACUGUGCUCGUUACGCCUUGGUAGAGUUCUUAUGGCUAACCUGUCACCGGAACCAGGUACCUAAAAAAUUUGUCAGCUUCGACAGUAAUAGACCCUUCCUAAAGACCAACUGUGAAUAUCGGUCUGCGAGUGCAGUAAAACGACCUUGGUCUAAGUACUUUGCUCCACAAUUACUUUUCCCAUCCCAACGGUUACUACAACUCUGACUUGUCUAACAAAAACUUCUGUGUGGACUACUGUAGGGUUCAGUUUAUUGAAGACAACAUGUUGUAUCUCCUAGUUAUGGAGAACAGACCAAAGUCCUUUGAAGUUCUGAAUUAUAAUCCGGUCUUUAGUGCAAUUUUAGGCUACACCUGAUGUUCCGGUGGGCGGAAGUAAAGCUUUUGGAACAAGAAUCUAUGCCCUUGGGAUAUCAGUAGAAUUUGAAUUAGUUCUGAGCACUCUUCUUCGGAGCACUUAGAAACGAGGCACGUCUUAAACGUUUCCGAUAGGUAAUGUAUUUAUUCCCCAAUGGCCUACUGUUUGCAGAAUUCAAAAAUGUGUACCUAGACUCAUUCGAUAGAGCUUCCUUUCCGUGGUUACACGAACCUGACAAUUUGUUCCAUCGUAGUCUACACAACCUUGAUUGCCUGGAGGAGGUAACGCUCUAUUGAUGUCGUAGUUUUGGAAACCUACGAAGUUCACCUGUUCCCAGUACACUGUAGUUUUAGUUACUACUAAAGACGCGUCGAUGUUACCAUGGAGAAAAUGAUGUCUUCCCACAGGAGUCCUGUUUGACGUAUCUGACGAAUCUGGCGUGUUUACAACGUGUCAAACGUAUACCUAAUCGACGAAAUCCCGCAGUUGAAGUACACAACUUCGAGUGACUUCUUGGAUUUUAACUAGACGUACUAGGAAACCGGCUACUAGACUACCUAAAGAUACUUUCCUACCCACUAUGUAAUCGGUAGGUCAUGCCACCAAGACGACGAGUGUUGUUCUAGAAGACACUCGUUUCUCCUGUCACCUUCCGUCGUUGGGUUAGGGUCCUCAAGGAAGCUUGGGAAGUCGCAAUGAUGUUAUUACGCAUGUGUCUAGGACUCUUCGUCCUACGAUAUUUACAUAAGAACCCAGUAAAAGUCGGAGUUGUUCCGUUUGGUGGAGAAACCUUCAACCUGAGUCUAGUCGUAAUGUUAUAGCCGGCCGUCCCUUGAAAUUCACUUCUUUGACCUUCUAAGUAUUUCUCCAGCGAGAGCCUACCUUUAUAAGAUACACUUUUGUCACGUGGGCACAGACUGGCAUUACAGCCGCUUUUGUUGUGACGCUUGAGUCUUAAUGACGGGCACGUUGUCGACCUACUAUAAUCUCUCGGAUGACUAAGACGUGGUCUCUAGAUAUACACACUUUGUUUGGGUACGGGGUCACGUUUUAUAUCGUGUUACGGACCUUCUGUGAGGUAAAGUCUCCUUGCCGUCUCAAUGAACUUUUCUAAUCCAAUGGGCCUCAACGUAAGAAGUUUAAAAGAGCUAGAACUAAACAAUAGAAGAAGUCCUUUAAGAACACUACUUCUUCGAAAACUCUCCAGUAGCUAGUAGGUAAGUGGAAACCUACCAUAGUCACAACCUAGAUGAUGAUGAAUGUCACUCGGUCCUGUGUUACUACUCCCUUCCCUACUGUGGCUGGACAGCGCGAGUUCGUCGGUCGACAGUCUGAGGGCGCUGAUAAGACUGGCAAAACGAGUCACCCACCGAUUACCUCCGUACGAAACGAUGAUUACGAUUUCUUAAACAGGACCACCGUAGGAGUAUAUUAAAAGUGGCGUCGUGCUUUCGAACUGUCGAUCUUGUUUCCUUUCUCGAGUUCUUGUUCCUCGCUGUACGUACGUGUCCCGGCCGUACGCGGCUCCGACGACGCUCUCUUCUUCUUAGCCGUGCUUAACGAGCCGCCUAACUCCGAGAUUGCACCAUUGAGACAACUCCUUACUUACGUCUACUACCACCGAACACCGAACCAAAACAAACCUGUACUAACCUCACGAUACCACUUCUUAACUGGCAUCACUUCCCUUUCCGUUACUUACUAUCCGUUUCCGUUUGUAUAGAUAGAGUAAGAAAAGUUCCCUAGAGUGUCUUUUGCCCAAGCCUUCUUUUAAAUACGCGAAGUUAACUUCACAGAUGAUCCACACGAGAGUAAAAACUUAAUCUUUGUUGAUCAAUACGAUG